rnacentral:pre_miRNA from 1 species
AUAGUAUUCCCUCCGUCCGAAAAUACUUGUCAUCAAAAUGAAUAAAAAAAGAUGUAUCUAGAACUAAAAUACAUCUAGAUACAUCUCUUUUUAUCCAUUUUGAUGACAAGUAUUUCCGGACGGAGGGAGUAGUAA